GACAGAGGGGGCAAGCGUUGCUCGGAAUUACUGGGCGUAAAGGGCGCGUAGGCGGAAUGGCAAGUCGGUCGUGAAAUCCUUCGGCUCAACCGAAGAACGUCGAUCGAAACUGCCGUUCUUGAGGAUUGCAGAGGAGACUGGAAUUCCCGGUGUAGCGGUGAAAUGCGUAGAUAUCGGAAGGAACAUCAGUGGCGAAAGGCGACUUCCUGGACCAAUACUGACGCUCAGGUGCGAAAGCGUGGGGAGCAAA
rnacentral:rRNA from 1 species